rnacentral:rRNA from 1 species
AGUGAACGCUGGCGGUAGGCCUAACACAUGCAAGUCGAACGGCAGCACAGGAGAGCUUGCUCUCUGGGUGGCGAGUGGCGGACGGGUGAGGAAUACAUCGGAAUCUACUUUUUCGUGGGGGAUAACGUAGGGAAACUUACGCUAAUACCGCAUACGACCUACGGGUGAAAGCAGGGGAUCUUCGGACCUUGCGCGAUUGAAUGAGCGGAUGUCGGACUAGCUAGUUGGCGGGGUAAAGGCCCACCAAGGCGACGAUCCGUAGCUGGUCUGAGAGGAUGAUCAGCCACACUGGAACUGAGACACGGUCCAGACUCCUACGGGAGGCAGCAGUGGGGAAUAUUGGACAGUGGGCGCAAGCCUGAUCCAGCCAUACCGCGUGGGUGAAGAAGGCCUUCGGGUUGUAAAGCCCUUUUGUUGGGAAAGAAAUCCAGCUGGUUAAUACCCGGUUGGGAUGACGGUACCCAAAGAAUAAGCACCGGCUAACUUCGUGCCAGCCGCCGCCGUAA